rnacentral:misc_RNA from 1 species
GAUGAAGAACGUAGCGAAAUGCGAUAAGUAAUGUGAAUUGCAGAAUUCAGUGAAUCAUCGAAUCUUUGAACGCACAUUGCGCCCGCCAGUAUUCUGGCGGGCAUGCCUGAUCGAGCGUCAUUACAACCCUCAGGCCCCCGGGCCUGGCGUUGGGGAUCGGCGGAAGCCCCCUGCGGGCACAACGCCGUCCCCCAAAUACAGUGGCGGUCCCGCCGCAGCUUCCAUUGCGUAGUAGCUAACACCUCGCAACUGGAGAGCGGCGCGGCCACGCCGUAAAACACCCAACUUCUGAAUGUUGACCUCGAAUCAGGUAGGAAUACCCGCUGAACUUAAGCAUAUCAAUAAGCGGAGGA